rnacentral:lncRNA from 1 species
UGCUAUGAAGAAUUUGAUAGCUGCUAAGAAUUCAAUUAAAGCAAAUGUUGGAGAUGAAAAAAAAAAAAAUACAAACAAUGUCAAAAAAUAAUUAAUUAAAUAAAUACUUCAUAAAACUGUAAAAAUAUUUUGUGUUAAUAUUCAUUUAGGAUAUUAUAUUUGUGUAAGUGUUGCAAAUAUAGUUUCUUUAAUCCGUGAAGCUGCAUUAUUAUAAGACGAUAAAAAUUUCAUUAUUUUCUGUAAAAAUAUUUGGAUUUGAAAUAUUUUCUAAAAUUUCAUCAUGCCGCAACAUUAACGAUUUUCAUGGCUCGUAGUGAAGCUCACGAGCAUCCAGCAGACAUCUAAAUCAUUUUUUAAAAACACCUAUUGUUCUUUCUACAAUAUUUCUUGCUUUUGCAUGCAUUUUAUUAUAUUUUUCUUCCGGGCUUCCUGAGAGAUGGGUACGGAAUGGUGUCAUUAAUAGGGCAUAUCCAGCAUUUAUAGUACAAAUAUAAAACGAUUUUGAUUUUUGGAAAUUUGUAAAGCGUUUUGGGAAUUUUUGUAACAUAUAUGUAUGUAUGCAUAAUACCCAAAAGCCAAGUAUUUUGUCCGCCAUCAAGGUAAUUUUUCUCAUAAAAAAUAACGAGCAUUGCUGGCAUUCCAUAUGUGGCAGUCGUAAUUGCUGCCAGGUUACUGAGCAUUCACAUAACGUAUUUUCAUAUUAUUGUCACAUAUUUGCAAAACAUUUGUCAUCAAACUUACAAUUAUGACAUUGAUUCUAAAAUAUCCUUUGCUGUUAUAAUAGAGAAACUUAUCUUUAAUUGGAGCAAUGAUUUUAAUAUGUGUCCCGUCUACACACAAAAUCGCGCCUGAAAACAAGUAUUUCUGAAAGAAGUUCCUUUUUGCUUGUCUUUUUUCAUCGUUACUUAACUCAAGGUUUAUCCACUAAGGGCACAAGCAAUCCCAAUAUAUCUUUUAAGAUGCAAAAAAAUGUUGACUGAGCCAUUGGAAUAUCGAAGUCUUUACACACUCCAUGCUGGUAGCCUCCCUCAGCUAAAAAACCGAAGUCAAUCGAUGAAGUAAAGAUAUAGAUGACAAUCUCUAAGGACUUGCCUUCUUCUCUAGAAAGCCGAGGGCAUGCGUAAAGGCCACCCUAUUUAAGCGAGUUUUCAAUAAACCUGUUUUAGAAUAACAAUUUGAAUAAAAUUUAACUGGAUUCUUGAACCGUCCCUCAGUGAUUUUCUCUCACGUUCUUCCUCAAUCAACAUAAAUACAAACGUUAGCGGAUCCAUAUUUUGUAGCUGAUUUGGAAAUGUCAAAAUUAAGGCUGAUAACAAAAGUUUAGAAUUCACACGGUGGAAGCAAUUUAUGCGUAUUCGCAGCGGACAUUCAUAUUCGGAGCUUUGCUACGAUCGAUUGCGUGAUAGGGGUGAUUACCACUUAAGGAAUAUUUCAUAUUGUUUAUUUUAGUUAUGCCGAGACGUUGAUGUUGAGAAAUGUCGAGUUAGCACAAUGGCUCAAAGUAAAUUAAUUAAAGUAUAGUUUUAUAUUAAAAAGAAGAACAAAAAAUAAUCUAUACGGCAAACCGCACAGUACGGUACUUUUUCCUUGGUUAUUAUCCGCUAAAUACGUAAUUGACACGUAUUUGGCCAAAAAAACACAUCAAUCAUCGUAUUCCCGAGACUUGGCCCCCCACGACCAAAAACUGAAGAGACCAUGAAAGAAUGACGUCAAGCCGAGAGGAGCUAAACAAAAUCACAAAUUACUUUUACGUUUUUAUGUGCUUUGAGGAUUGAACAAAUGCUGGUGGAAGUGUAAUGUAUCGAAGGGUGAUUACUUUGAAGGGGACAUAAUAGAUAUACAUGAAUAAAUAAACACUUUCUUAAGAAAUACAAACUUAAAAAACACCAAAAAUCAAGUACUCAUGUAAAUCAUAAAUAUUUUUUUCUAUAUUAAGCAAUAAUUUCUCUAAAGGUUUCUAUGUAUAUGUUUGCAUUUUUGAAGAAAAUAUAAAUGUUUUGAUAUCACAAGAAAACCUAACGUGUCAAUUUCUUUUCAUUCACAUAUUAUGGUUUAGUGGCUCU